rnacentral:rRNA from 1 species
UACGGAGGAUGCAAGCGUUAUCCGGAAUGAUUGGGCGUAAAGCGUCCGCAGGUGGCAAUGUAAGUCUGCUGUCAAAGCGUCUGGCUCAACCAGAUAAAGGCAGUGGAAACUACAUAGCUAGAGUAAGGUAGGGGUAGAGGGAAUUCCUGGUGUAGCGGUGAAAUGCGUAGAGAUCAGGAAGAACACCGGUGGCGAAAGCGCUCUGCUGGACCUUAACUGACACUGAGGGACGAAAGCUAGGGUAGCAAACGGG